CUUCUAGCUGCUGGCCUGUGCUCUGAACUGUUCCCUUCUCCUUGCAUCCCUCUCCUCCUUGGUCAGAAUCCUGAUCCUCUGUGGACAGUUUAAUCUAAUAAACGAAUUCAGGCUGAGAUCUAAAUGAUCAUCAUGAUGGUGAUGGAGGAAGCAGUGAUAAUGAUGAUGAUGAUGUCAUAAAACUAAAAUUAUUGAGCACUAAGUACUGGUCAAGAUGCUUUAGAUACAUCAGUUCAUCGAAUCCUCUCAACAACCUUGUUUUACAGUGGCCCAACAAUACAGUGCCUAUUAUCAUCCUUGCUUCAUGAAGAAGAACACGAGGUUUAGGAGGGUUCACCCUCUCAGUCAAAGUCCCUGAAGUGCAGAACUUGGCCAACCCCACAGUGGACUGGCUUCUGCUAGGCAGUUGGGAGCCACUGCCAUCUCCAAACAGCAGGAAGAGAUGCUCAAAGCUGUGCUUUUGAAAAAUCAAUCUGGCAGUAGUGGAGAAGAUACACUGUCUUUUCUCAGCUCAGCAUACCAGUUGGAAGGCCUAACCACAGAGCCAGCAGGCGGCAGAGCUGGGGGUUAGAUCCCACAUCUACCUGAUUCCAGCACCCUUGCUCGAAUCCCCCAAACCUAGCUGCUUGAGGCCAGAUGAAGGCUUCCGGCUUCACAAGUGCCCUUCCCUCACUGCGGGUGCAUUGGCACCUCACUUCCUUGCCACACUUCCUCUUGUUUUGAACCACUAUAUUGGCUCAUCUCAGCAGCAGACAGUUCCUCUGAAUAGAGUAUGCCCUGAAAAGUCAAAAUCUACCACCAGCUGGAGCUGGUAAGGCUGCAGUACUUCCUGUUGAAUCGGGUCUUGGGGCCAGAAACCACAUUGUUAUUUAUACCCGAAGCUCUUUAUUCACGGUGCUUUACAAAACAAAGAAGGGGCAGCCCCCUGUCUUAUGGAGCCAGCAGACCCCAGAGAUACAGAAGACAACAGACAAUAAUAAGCCCUCUCCCCUCUCCUUAAGCUGUAACUUCCAUCCUGCCUGACCAGUCCCUGCCACUGCCCCUUUGUUUCUUCUAUUACCUUCCUCUGAGCAGUCUUAUUAUGGAAAUAGACUCCUAAUUAACACAUCAGGUUUCCGCUUUUCCAAAAAGUCUCUGAAAUUGGCCCGUUUCAUGAUGUUGUUCACUCCAAACACCCCCUGCUAUCUUUAUUUUGUUCUGCUUUUCAUCCUGGCUUAUAUCAUUUAUUUCUUUGUAUUGAAAGCUUGUCAACUCAUGGGACCUGGCAUGUAUUAAUUAGGAGGAUGGUCUGGAGCCCGACACAGCUUGAUGGAAAGCCAGUCUGAGGGGGGAAUUAGGCAGAGAAUCAGAAAGAAGCUGAACCAAGCAGCAGAGGGGUAGAUGGCUUAAGACCAUGACCCAAAUUUCAGACCCAGGGUGACCGACUGUCAGCCUUCUGGGCUGGGAUUCUUCCCUUAAGCUAAGACAGUCUUCACUUUGUGCCAUAAAAGUGCACGUCAGGUCUCACCUCUGUGCCGUUUGCUCAAUGUGUACCCCCCUGCCGGGAUGCCCUUCUUUCUCUUUUCUACCUACUAAGCUCUGCUGCUUUUCAAGGCCAAAAUGAAGUCCCAUCUCCCAUAAAAAGCCUUCCGCGGCUCCUCCAGUCCUGAGCAACCUCCAUUUUCAUGACACUCUUGCAGGAUUUGUAGCACAUAAUUUAGGCCUUGCUUAUGUAGUCUUCUUAAUGAGAACUGUCUUAGUCUCUCCAGCCACGUCAGAGAGAAACAGAGUUCAGGAAGACAUAGGUUGAAUAAGAAAGAAGCUUGUUUGCCCCUCUGGGGACAGCAGGAGGAGAGGGACAAGCUCAGCAGGCCCGUGCGAUUGCACAGAAGCUGGCCUCCAGCGUUGCC
rnacentral:lncRNA from 1 species